CUGCCUUCCACAAUCUGCGGGAGAACAGAUACCCUUUUUGCUUUUCCCUCCACCUCUACCGAAGAAGCUCUUCGUAGGGCAGGUGCCUUGGAAGCCAUCAGCUGGGUUGUUGAUGCCCGUCUACCAAAGCUGGUGGCCGAAGCCUUAGACGGGGACAUCGUUCCCAGCGAGCUACGGCGGACGGAAUAUCUACUCGUCACUGCCUUCGAGGGACAAGCGGAGCGUGUGUUCAUCACCAUUUUUCUACUGGUUAAUUUCUACGGUUAAAUUCUAUGAAGGUUAUUAUGAUUUCUACUGAUUUUCUAAGGAAUUUCGCUAGUAUGUUAAUUGAUUGAUUAAUUAAGUAAUUAUUGUCAAAAUAGGGACGAAUUUUAUUUUCAAACUUUUUAAUUAAAACGGGAAUUGGAUUUAUUGUGAAGUUUAAAACGUAAGAUGUCAAUGGAUUUCACGCUGUAAUUAAAUUGUCAAUUUAUUUUGCUGUCAAUGUGAUGAGACGUUUGAUGUCACUGUCAGUCAAGUUAUUGAUAAAGCUGUCAAAUCUAUUUGGAUGUCAAUGGUACCGUGAUGUUUUACUUCAAUGUCUAAUGAUUGCGAUUUAAUGUCAUGGGAAUAAACAAAAUAAGAUUAUUAAAGUUAUAUUGUCAAAUUGUUUGCAACGGAGCAAAUAUUAACUGGGUUAGAUGGUAUUGAUAAUAAAAGAAAAAGCUUAGGAAACGAUUUAAAUUAUUGAAAGCGGAUUUAAGUAAUCUUAAAUUAACGUUUUGAAAAGGGGGAAUUUAAUAAAUUGAAAAAGUUUAACGAGAUUUAAAUUUAAACUUAUUAACUGUCAGUCUAUUUGAUGUCAAUAACGGUAAAUGUCAGGUUUAAACAAGCUGUCCAAAAAAUUUAAAUGUCAACUUUAUACGACGUUGUGUAUUAAAAGUUUUAAUGUCAAUCGAGUCUAACGGUUUUAUUAUGUAUGGAAAACAAGGUAAUAGUUUAAAUAAAUUUAAAUGAAUAUUAGUUCUUUAUGGAUCUGAAAGGGUUGCUUUAACUGGCCGUGAGGCUUUUCAAAUUUUAAAAGUUGUUGUUAUUAAUCGUAUGAUAUUGAGAAUUAAUUAUGAAAAUUAAAUUAUUAAUUGUGGGUGUAGGCAAUCAAAUUUAAAUGGAUAAAUUAUAACGAAGGUUUUUAAUAGCCCUUGAGCAAAAACGAGUCUUAUUUAAUGAGAAUAUUUAAAUAGAAUUUUAAUUUAAUCGGUUGCAGCUGCCAAGAAUUUAAAUUAUAACUGUCAACCAAUUAAAGAUGUCAAAGUGACGUGAGGUGUCUGAUAAUAUUGUGCUGUCAAUUUGAUUCUGUGUCAACGUUCCCGGCAGGCAAAUGACAUUUCAUACUACGGCGAGGGGUGUUGAAACGCAUGGAAGAGCAGGAAGAAACACGGACGAGCGCUGAUGAACUGCAACUGUGUGCGUGCAACAGCACCAAACGGCCUGUGACGACGGACAGUGUGUGGAUGUGUGUGUGUGUGUAAUUUUAGGCAGCGAAGAUGGAUCGAGGUUAUGUUUACAAAGUGAAAGAGUUAGAUGCAGAAGCAUCUUUGUGAUAAACAUGAAUUUUAGUUGCAUAAUUUUAGUGUUAAAGUUUGUAAUGAGAACUUAAAAGUAAUGACUAAUGGUGCUAUUCACUUGUUGGCGAAUAUUGAAGCGUUGAAAUAUUGAAGCUUCCUAUGUUAGUUUGUUGUGCUUAGUGUGAAGCUCCUGCUGCAGCCUGGUGUUCAUCGUCGGUGAUCAUCAUUAUUGGUGACGAAGGCAGCACAGGUUCGUACACCGGAAACGUUCUGAUCACUUUUCCUGGUUAUAUUUUUAGGCAAAUUUAUCACAACAGGACCAGUUGCUCGUUCAGUCGUUAUGUACGAUGUACCGGCGCUUGUCGAUGGCACUUGGUUACCACCAUCAACUAUCUUGCCUGGCGGACGGAUCUGGCUAGGAACACAGAUUCUCUAGCAGCCGCUAUCACCGAUGCAGAAGCACUGGUGUGUAAUUGUUGUCUUACAACAGCGGACAUCAUACCACGCUGAUUCUUCGGAGCAUGAACUUCGACAAGCGAUGCAAUCGAUGGUACUGCAGAUCCCGCCAAUGUCUGUUGUCUACCGAUCUUCAUGCCUGAUUCCUGCGGUAGAGCAUCAGCAACCGGUACCACUGAUGGCGCAGCAGUACUAGUUGACGGUUGCUGUCCAUGUUGCUGGCCUAACGGACGGAAUGGUGCAGGAACACCAGAUGUUCAACAACACGGACUGGCAUUCUUUGUUGACUCGCGCUGACCGGCCACUGAAACCACCGAAGGCACUGCACUUGUUGUCGGAAGUUGUCCAACAACACGGACCGGCAAUCUGGGAGGACGGAUAGCACGAGGAAUGGCAACCGGAACCACCGAUGGCACUGCACUUGUCGUCGGAAGUUGUUCAACAACACGGCCUGGUACAUCUGACUGACGAAGCUACUUAUCACAUACCAGCGUUUUAUGUCCCCAUUCUUGGUGUUUCCGGGUUACUCGCCAUCGCGCUGUAGUCGGAUCAUACUGCACCUGUCCUGCUUCGAUUAAUGCCUCCCCAAAGACAAAAUUAGAGCACGCGUUCCUAUUCCUCAUCCUCCGGCGCCGUUUGGAGAAUGUGGGAGUCACUGCUUUAUAAAAACCACCGGUCUACCACAAACUGGAAACAGCGGAAAACCCCGAGGGUCACCGGCCACCAUGCUUAAUUGAAGCAAAGUUGAACUAAUCUGCCGCGACGAAUAUCAGAUCGCAACUGCUAAUAAUUUCGUCGUCUGAGGCGGACUGUUAUGGAGGUACAAAAUCUUCAGUGAUGAUGAAUGCGUUCACGCUUCUACGAGCCGGUAAUUGGCGGUAUCCAGAUCAUCGUCGUACUGUUAGCUUACCUAAGCUACCGAAAUUAGCGACAGUGUAAAAUCUGUGCUGUGAGAAUUACAGCUGGCUCUCACAACCGUCCGGAAGUCGCAGUGAUUUGGUAACAUCAAGAUCAUCACCAUCGCACGAAGCGCAGCAUAUUGACGCAAGCCCAAGCGGACAGCAACCACCUGCAGCAAACGUACGCUGAACGAAUGGUCGUGGUAGAUGCGUUAGGAUUGCAAGGUGAUACUUGCGCUCUGAAAAUGCUAGCACAGAUGUUUGGGCCACAGAGGUGACGUUCCGAGAUUGUAAAAACAUGCCGGGCCCACAGUUUCAGAUAAACCGUUCUCAUCAAUACCAUACCAUGUACGGUCGGCUAGUUACACUUCAUCACGAAGGACAAUCACAUCUGGAUGACGGAAUGCUGCCAAAACGAUGAAGCUGGCUGAGUCCUCGAUGACGACGCAACUCCUGCACGUUCGUCGUCAUACUAUCUUUUCAACUGGAGGCAUGUUUGUUUAGGCGGCUACAACAAAUUGUUUGAACAUGUUCAAUGAAACAAAAAUGUUGUUUUGGCUUCUCACAAUUACUGGUGAAUGCUGGAAAUCUCCGUGAUAGCCGUUUUCGUGUGCUGAAUUAGGUUUGUAUGAAAAAUAGUGUAUUUUUAGAAUAUUUAAUUAUCAAUAAAAUAACGGUCGAUUUGAAAA